rnacentral:rRNA from 1 species
CUAGCCGUAAACGAUGGGUACUAGGUGUGGGUGGUUUCGAUACCAUCCGUGCCGUAGUUAACGCAUUAAGUACCCCGCCUGGGGAGUACGUGCGCAAGCAUGAAACUCAAAGGAAUUGACGGGGGCCCGCACAAGCGGUGGAGCAUGUGGUUUAAUUCGAAGCAACGCGAAGAACCUUACCAGGGCUUGACAUCCCUUGAUCGCUGUAGAGAUACAGCUUCUCUUCGGAGCAAGGAGACAGGUGG